rnacentral:lncRNA from 1 species
GUGCCCUGCCCCCGCGAGCAGCUCCUGCGAGCGGCCACCCCGGCUCCGGCUCCGGAGCUGACUAUGCCGGUUCCCCGCUGCCAUAGGCACCCCCAGCCCGCGCGGGGGGGUGGGGCGCGCUGCGCUGAGCUGAGCUGCAGGGUUCCCCCUCCCCGUUCCUCCCCCUCGGGGCUCCCCGGGGCGCGGCGGGCCUGGGGCGCGCGGGUUGCCCGGCGACCGCGCCGUUGCCAGUGGAGACGCACACGCACACGCCCCCCCCCCCCCCGGGGCGGCCGAACCCAGGCGGCGGCCCCGGUGUCUGUGCGCUGGGCGCCGGCGGGCGGGGGCUGCAAGGAGAGACCUCCUGGGACUCCUCGAACCUUCCCGGCCCCCAGCGGCCUCUCGCCCUCACCCCACAGUCGGGGGCCCGGAGAAGGCGGGCCGCCCACCCUGGCCCCUCCCGCGGGGCGCAGACCCCUCCCCACGGCCACCUCCUUGAGCGAGCGCAGGAGAGGAGAAGGCGGUGGUGACUCCGCGCUUCCCGGCCGGCUGCCCUCCUCCCUGGCUGUUUGCCUCCAGGGAUCCCAGGAAGGUGGAAAGGGGCGUUAUUCACGGAGAUCGGCUGUUUCCUUACAGGAAAACUGAGGCUCGCGGUGGUUGGGCUGGAUGGCUCACCUUUUCCACCUGAUCCGGGUGUCUCCGUCCAGUAAUCAUCUCCCACGUCAGCAAAUGAAGAGUCCCUGUCAGAAAGGCUGUCCUGGGAGCAUUCUGUCGGGUUCUGGAAGAGGAGCGGUAGACCCAUCCCGAGCGUGGGCUUCCUGUAGGCAGGGCACCUCCUGCUGGAGAGGCGACAGCCCAGCAGGAGAUCUUCCAGUGGCGGCGCAUGGGUGGGUGGUCCUCCCAAAGCCCAGUAAUGCUCGAGACAAGCGAAAUACCCAACAAAGAAACACGGUGCAUCCGCAGAUCGGAACACUGCGUGCCCGUUUAAUAUGGAGUUUCAAAAAAUACCAAGGAUCCGAAGGACCUUUGGGUGACUCCGUUUGUACGGAAUGUCCGGAAUAGACAAAUCUACA